AGUUGUAUGUAGGCCUUCCACUGCUGUCUAGAGAGACUGAAAUCAUACACCAAUAGAGCAGUUUCUGCUUUUCCAGGGCUGUAAUAUUUUACUCCAUCUGAGGUUGGAAAUUUACAAGAUGGACUGUAGAUGACUUCUCUUGGCAUCCAUGCUUGUUCUCCUGCAUGUGGUUCAACACUUUGCAAGAUCUGUGCAGCUAACAGCACGAGGAAAGCAUUUCCAGAGGAUUCAUUGUAAUCUGCCUUUCAGUGGCAAUAACAGAUGUCUGGC